rnacentral:lncRNA from 1 species
UCUUCUGAGAUCUGUUUGGUCAUCACCAUGAGAAGACUAUACCUCAGGUAGACACUAUUCUUUCUCCCAGGUAACCUGGAUCCCAAAAUGAGAACAGAAGAACCACUUCAUGUGACUUGAACCAGAUCUGAAAUCUGAAGUGAAGCCCAGAAGAGUGUAGCUGAAGACAAGUGAACCUACUUGACCAGCAAACGCACAUAUCAAAGGGCCCCCUGGCUACUAAGGAAGAUGAAUGAAGAAAGGGCCCAUACAUGGACACCUACUUCAUAGUAAAAUCUGAGGACAUGAAGUAUAAAGAGGACAUUCUGAACACUUCAAGAGACAGCACCCUUAGCUAGGCAUGCAGACAGGAUCUCACUGUCACCCAGGCUGGAGUACAGUGGCUC